GAUGAACGCUGGCGGCGUGCUUAACACAUGCAAGUCGAACGGGAAUUAUUUUAUUGACACUUCGGUCGAUUUAAUUUAAUUCUAGUGGCGGACGGGUGAGUAACGCGUGGGUAACCUGCCUUAUACAGGGGGAUAACAGUCAGAAAUGGCUGCUAAUACCGCAUAAGCGCACAGAGCUGCAUGGCUCAGUGUGAAAAACUCCGGUGGUAUAAGAUGGACCCGCGUUGGAUUAGCUGGUUGGUGGGGUAACGGCCCACCAAGGCGACGAUCCAUAGCCGGCCUGAGAGGGUGAACGGCCACAUUGGGACUGAGACACGGCCCAGACUCCUACGGGAGGCAGCAGUGGGGAAUAUUGCACAAUGGGGGAAACCCUGAUGCAGCGACGCCGCGUGAAGGAAGAAGUAUCUCGGUAUGUAAACUUCUAUCAGCAGGGAAGAUAGUGACGGUACCUGACUAAGAAGCCCCGGCUAACUACGUG
rnacentral:rRNA from 1 species